GUGCUGGCUUCGGCAGCACAUAUACUGGAAUUGGAAUGAUGCAGAGAAGAUCAGCAUGGCCCCUGCACAAGGAUGACACGCAAAUUCAUGAAGCAUUCCAUAUUUAA
ensembl:snRNA U6 U6 spliceosomal RNA